rnacentral:rRNA from 1 species
UUCUAUUAGAAAUUAUUAAUAGUAAAAUCUGCUCCAUGUUUAAUAAAUAGCCGCAAUUUGUGCUAAGGUAGCAUAAUCAUUUGUCUUUUAAAUGAAGACUAGAACAAAAGAUUUAACAUUUUCAGUUUAUUUUUCUAAUUUAUCCCAUCAAAUUUAUCCUAAAUGUAAAAAGACAUUUAUUCAAAAGAAAGACGAUAAGACCCUAUUGAACUUAACUGUAGUUAAACUGGGGCAGUAAAUUAAUUAUUAUUUUAAUAAAAUUUACUCCAUAAAUAUCUAAUAAAAUUAAAUAAUUCAGUUACCAUAGGGAUAACAGCGUAAUAAUCUUCUAGAGACCUUAUUUAAAAUAUAGAUUACGACCUCGAUGUUGAAUUAAUAACCUAAUUAAGGCAAAACUUAAAAAAGGAAGUCUGUUCGACUUUUAAAAAAUUACAUGAUUUGAGUUCAGACCGGUGUAAGCCAGGUCGGUUUCUAUCUUCUAAAAAAUUUUUUACAGUACGAAAGGACCUAAAAAUAUAAUA